GGGCGCUAGGAGCCCGCCCCGGCGCCCGGGCCUAUUGGCGGAAGGGGAAGUGGGGGGCAGGCGGCGGUGGGGAAGAUGGCGUACCAGAGCCUCCGGCUGGAGUACCUGCAGAUCCCACCGGUCAGCCGCGCCUACACUACCGCCUGUGUCCUCACCACCGCCGCCGUGCAGUUGGAACUGAUCACACCUUUUCAGUUGUACUUCAAUCCUGAGUUGAUUUUUAAGCAUUUUCAAAUAUGGAGGUUAAUCACCAAUUUCUUAUUCUUUGGGCCCGUUGGAUUCAACUUUUUAUUUAACAUGAUUUUUCUAUAUCGUUACUGUCGAAUGCUAGAAGAAGGCUCAUUCCGAGGCCGGACAGCAGACUUUGUAUUUAUGUUCCUUUUUGGUGGAUUCUUAAUGACUCUUUUUGGUUUGUUUGUGAGCUUAGUUUUCCUGGGCCAGGCCUUCACGAUAAUGCUGGUCUACGUGUGGAGCCGAAGGAACCCGUAUGUCCGCAUGAACUUCUUUGGCCUUCUCAACUUCCAGGCCCCCUUUCUGCCCUGGGUGCUCAUGGGGUUUUCCUUGUUGUUGGGGAACUCGAUCAUUGUGGACCUCUUGGGUAUUGCAGUUGGACACAUAUAUUUUUUCUUGGAAGAUGUGUUUCCCAAUCAGCCUGGUGGAAUAAGAAUUCUGAAAACACCAUCUAUUUUGUGAGUAUUUACCAACAGAUUACGUGUUCCUUGCAGACCAACCAGGACAGGGCCCAUGACCUGCAUUUUCUUGGGGCUCCCAAGGCUCCUGGUACACAGGAAGGCUAUUUUUGAUACACCAGAUGAGGAUCCAAAUUACAAUCCCCUACCUGAAGAGCGGCCAGGAGGCUUCGCCUGGGGUGAGGGCCAGCGCCUUGGAGGUUAAAGCAGUGCCAAUAACGACACCCAGCUGGGGAGAACUCAGUGAAUCACCCAUUGGGAUUCUUUUAUCCUUUGUUGCAAAAGUGUGGACACUUUUGACAGCUGUGACAGAUUUUAACUCCAGAAGCACUUUAUGAAAUGGUACACUGACUAAUCCAGAAGACAUUUCCAGCAGCCUGCCAGUGGUUCCUCACUACACUGGUACUGAAAGUGUAAUCUCUUGGAGCCAAAAAACUGGAGAAACAAGUAUCCUGCAGCCUCUGUCAAGUACAUGAGUACUUAAGUUCUAUGGUAUAAGGCAGGGCUUUUGCUUCCUCCUCCUCUUUGAUAGACGAGGCCACGGUGUAAAUGGAAGUUUCAGAGAGGACAAAAUAAAACUGAAUUCCAUCUCUCUCUCGCUGUAUUAAAGCUUUUGUGUGUGAUCUUUUAAAUUACGGCAGUGUAUUCUAGCUCUCGUGCACAGAUCAGAGCUGAGAACAGUUUCCACGCCUGCUUUCCUGUGUCUGCACAGCUUUCGACUGGAUUUCAUGCGAAGAUUGGAAACUACAUGGCUGUUACGCUGUGGCUGUGGCCAUCUUAUUCAGAAUGCUAACUUAAGUAGGAAGAAGAUGUCCUUCUGUCAUCCAGAUAGUUUGUCCUCCAUCUGGGUCUCUGUAAAACUCCAGGUUGUCAGGUCUGAGGGUGAAGGUGUUGGGGUGGAACUCGACUGUAGAGUCAGCAGCCAGCAGAGAGCUAAUGUGACAUCUUUUUUACUCUGCUCACGUUUCUCUACUAAAAGAUAUCGAGGGAAAGACCAGUAAUAGCCACAGAUUUGGAAAACUAAAGGAUUUUCGUUAGAGUCAGAACGCAUGUUAGAAUGUUGACUUUGGAGCCAGAUGAACAGGUACUAGUUAGGCAGGCGUGUGUUCUGCCUGCAUCUUUGGCUGGUUAACAGUUGUCAUUUGUUUCGUGAGAAACUUUCCAGAGCCUAGUGCCGGGGUUUACCUUCCCAAUCAAGGGGAAAUUUUACAGGGUCCCUCAACGAAUAGCCACUUAAUGCCUGUGGUUCAGUAAACACUUGUCCAAAAUACUGGGUCUCCACAGGUUUUCAUUCACACUGCUUGAAGUAAUUCAGAACAUGGGAAAGUUAGAAGACCCCUAAGAAAAGACUUCAGAUACUUUCAUUAAAUGUAGGCAUGGGACCUUUUCCCAAAACAGGAUUUUCACCGGUUGUUCCAUCUUGGUUAAGGAGUAGCUUUCUCUAGUGUGACAUUCUCAGAGUGAGUGAUACAGGUUUAGAUUGAGCGUACUAACCGUCCUAAAUGGGAAUGUUCAGAUUGUUUUUAUAGUGAGAAGCAUUUUAAAGUCUUUAGAUAUAAUUGGAAUUUGUGUAAGUAAUAGAAGUUAAUGUAUGCAUUUUACAUGUCACCAGUAAGUGACUUUGAACAUGAUGGUUGCAAUCUUAAGGAACUUAUGUUAAUGAGACUGCUUUUUUUUUCCUAAGUGGUUAAAAAGCUUUUUUUUUUUUUUUUGAAAUUUAAAUGCCAUUCUUAGAAUGUAUAAUCCUUAGGAUAUUAUUAAGUUUAAUCAUGUCUUGUUUCUGUUCAAGAAAGCUUUAUCAGUGAUUUUUAUUAGAAGUUUUAUUUUUGUUUAUUGUUUUUGGCCUCUAAAUGGAUUUCUUUAGCUUUAUUUGUUCUCUUUGAGUUAGCCAGUUAAUAGAAUUUUUGUGGUGAAAUUUUAAUCCCGAUAUCUCUUCACUGCUUAUUUAAAUAGGGAGUAUCUAUGUAUGUUAGUGACUGGAUUAAACAGGGAACACACUUUGAAUGUAUAACCUAAAGAUAGGCAGGCAUGGAAUUUUGAUUUCUCUGGUUUUAUAGGAUGUGUAUUCCUAGCGGCAAGGUGCCAUGCUACACUACAACACUGUGUCCUAGGCAGUGAGAAUUUCGGUCACUGGCCUCUUUUCCCAGUCCUGCUACCACCACCUCUGGCCCUGUGUUGUGUGAUGGGAUUCCUAUGCUUACCUGGACCCAUGGAAGAGUCCUCGCGUCCCCAGCUUGCCUCUUGAGUCUUCCAGAACACACCUCAUUCUCAUAACGCAAAUCAACUGAAAAGCGAAGUCUGAUACGUGGAACUGUGUGACCAAGGAACUUUACAAGUAAUUUGAGGAAUUCCUGGAUUCUACCAGUAAUACUGAAAAGCACACCUUACUGAGGCAUUGUUUUCUGUUCUUCCAGGGUGAUACGUUCAUUGAAAAAUAAAUGGACGUGCAAAUUGCAUCUCCCUGGGAGAUAACCUUUCAUGGACAUUUUGUUGUGAUUUCCACCGGGGUUUCUAUUCCUCUCUUCCACCUGUUCUGUUUCUGUGUCACUCCGGGAUAUCCUAGUAUCUUUAACACCUCUCGUGUAGCUUCUUGAAGCAGAGAGCUCAAGUGCUGGAUCUUGGCAAUGAAACCAUCACUGUGUCUCUGGGGCCUCUGAAUAUUUACUGGCACCAUUGCCGUGUUGGGUAACAGGCUCCCUAAAAUUGGCACCCCUCCUGCCAGUGUUUCAUGUUGUGGCUGUGUUUUCCUUUAACAGAUGGGUUUCCUCUGUGUUGCUAGUCCAGAUCCACUGUUUCCAGCAUCACACAAGGUGCCCUUAAGCGACUUACGUAUUUUAUGAGUUUGCAUUGAAGCUGUUGAGCCUUUUACGAUUCAGUCACUUGUAAGUUCAGAAAUCCACACCAAUUUCUUAGCAAGCCCUUAUAUACAGUGUGUGCUUUCUGUCAUCCUCUGAACCUUACUCCCACUUCUAUCUGACAGAGACCUCAAUUUCAGACUUUUUUUUUUUUUUGGUUUUUGUCCUUUAAGACCUGACCUUGUCCAUGAUUCCUCAAGGACUCUUGACUGUGAGGCCUAUUUCACUGUCUUUGAAUCCCUCUCAGUUUCAAGUCUGUAUGGCAUACUCUUACACCAAAUUAUAUAUUGUCAUGUCCUGUUCCCAGCUGGUACGUGUAUAUUAGUCUUGUUUCUCUCAUGAGAAUGUAAGCUCCUUAAGGGCAGGGACCAUGUCUUAAAGUUUUGUAUCCACCACAGUGCCUCGCACAGUGCUUGGCACAAGGGUGCUGAAUAAAUACUUUGUUUAUUAGCAA